UACGUAGGGUGCAAGCGUUGUCCGGAAUUAUUGGGCGUAAAGAGCUCGUAGGCGGUUUGUCGCGUCUGCCGUGAAAGUCCGGGGCUCAACUCCGGAUCUGCGGUGGGUACGGGCAGACUAGAGUGAUGUAGGGGAGACUGGAAUUCCUGGUGUAGCGGUGAAAUGCGCAGAUAUCAGGAGGAACACCGGUGGCGAAGGCGGGUCUCUGGGCCGGUACCGACGCUGAGGAGCGAAAGCGUGGGGAGCGAACAGG
rnacentral:rRNA from 1 species